ACAUGCAAGUCGAGCGGUAGAGAGAAGCUUGCUUCUCUUGAGAGCGGCGGACGGGUGAGUAAUGCCUAGGAAUCUGCCUGGUAGUGGGGGAUAACGUUCGGAAACGGACGCUAAUACCGCAUACGUCCUACGGGAGAAAGCAGGGGACCUUCGGGCCUUGCGCUAUCAGAUGAGCCUAGGUCGGAUUAGCUAGUUGGUGAGGUAAUGGCUCACCAAGGCGACGAUCCGUACUGGUCUGAGAGGAUGAUCAGUCACACUGGAACUGAGACACGGUCCAGACUCCUACGGGAGGCAGCAGUGGGGAAUAUUGGACAAUGGGCGAAAGCCUGAUCCAGCCAUGCCGCGUGUGUGAAGAAGGUCUUCGGAUUGUAAAGCACUUUAAGUUGGGAGGAAGGGCAGUUACCUAAUACGUNAUUGUUUUGACGUUACCGACAGAAUAAGCACCGGCUAACUCUGUGCCAGCAGCCGCGGUAAUACAGAGGGUGAAGCGUUAAUCGGAAUUACUGGGCGUAAAGCGCGCGUAGGUGGUUUGUUAAGUUGGAUGUGAAAUCCCCGGGCUCAACCUGGGAACUGCAUUCAAAACUGACUGACUAGAGUAUGGUAGAGGGUGGUGGAAUUUCCUGUGUAGCGGUGAAAUGCGUAGAUAUAGGAAGGAACACCAGUGGCGAAGGCGACCACCUGGACUAAUACUGACACUGAAGUGCGAAA
rnacentral:rRNA from 1 species